rnacentral:rRNA from 1 species
UACGGGGGGGGCAAGCGUUGUUCGGAAUUACUGGGCGUAAAGGGCGCGUAGGCGGCCUUCUAAGUCGGACGUGAAAUCCCUCGGCUUAACCGAGGAACUGCGUCCGAGACUGAAAGGCUUGAAUCCGGGAGAGGGAUGUGGAAUUCCAGGUGUAGCGGUGAAAUGCGUAGAUAUCUGGAGGAACACCGGUGGCGAAGGCGGCAUCCUGGACCGGCAUUGACGCUGAGACGCGAAAGCGUGGGGAGCGAACAGG